GGGGGUGGAAGAGCCCUCACUCUGCCGUGGUAGAAACUGGUGCAGCGUGUGUGGAAGACCGAGUGUAAAGUCUACAGGUCUUGUCACUGCUGCUUUCAGAGUGGAAUCUGGUGACGUGAGCGUGGCCUGUGGACGAGCUUCUGCCUUCCUGCAAAUGCUGUUUAAUGUUUAAGAGAUUCAUGACAAAACAAAUGCUGGUAGCUCGUGUAAAUGUAUAGCUUUAACCCUGUUUUUUCUAAUAGAUUGACUACCAUUGGCAUUAAAUGAGAUUUUGAAACCCAUGAA